GACGAACGCUUGCGGCGUGCUUAACACAUGCAAGUCGAACGGAAAGGCCCUGCUUUUGUGGGGUGCUCGAGUGGCGAACGGGUGAGUAACACGUGAGUAACCUGCCCUUGACUUUGGGAUAACUUCAGGAAACUGGGGCUAAUACCGGAUAGGAGCUCCUGCUGCAUGGUGGGGGUUGGAAAGUUUCGGCGGUUGGGGAUGGACUCGCGGCUUAUCAGCUUGUUGGUGGGGUAGUGGCUUACCAGGGCUUUGACGGGUAGCCGGCCUGAGAGGGUGACCGGCCACAUUGGGACUGAGAUACGGCCCAGACUCCUACGGGAGGCAGCAGUGGGGAAUAUUGCACAAUGGGCGGAAGCCUGAUGCAGCAACGCCGCGUGCGGGAUGACGGCCUUCGGGUUGUAAACCGCUUUCGCCUGUGACGAAGCGUGAGUGACGGUAAUGGGUAAAGAAGCACCGGCUAACUACGUGCCAGCAGCCGCGGUGAUACGUAGGGUGCGAGCGUUGUCCGGAUUUAUUGGGCGUAAAGGGCUCGUAGGUGGUUGAUCGCGUCGGAAGUGUAAUCUUGGGGCUUAACCCUGAGCGUGCUUUCGAUACGGGUUGACUUGAGGAAGGUAGGGGAGAAUGGAAUUCCUGGUGGAGCGGUGGAAUGCGCAGAUAUCAGGAGGAACACCAGUGGCGAAGGCGGUUCUCUGGGCCUUUCCUGACGCUGAGGAGCGAAAGCGUGGGGAGCGAACAGGCUUAGAUACCCUGGUAGUCCACGCUGUAAACGGUGGGUACUAGGUGUGGGGUCCAUUCCACGGGUUCCGUGCCGUAGCUAACGCUUUAAGUACCCCGCCUGGGGAGUACGGCCGCAAGGCUAAAACUCAAAGGAAUUGACGGGGCCCCGCACAAGCGGCGGAGCAUGCGGAUUAAUUCGAUGCAACGCGUAGAACCUUACCUGGGUUUGACAUGGAUCGGGAGUGCUCAGAGAUGGGUGUGCCUCUUUUGGGGUCGGUUCACAGGUGGUGCAUGGCUGUCGUCAGCUCGUGUCGUGAGAUGUUGGGUUAAGUCCCGCAACGAGCGCAACCCUUGUUCACUGUUGCCAGCACGUUAUGGUGGGGACUCAGUGGAGACCGCCGGGGUCAACUCGGAGGAAGGUGGGGAUGACGUCAAGUCAUCAUGCCCCUUAUGUCCAGGGCUUCACGCAUGCUACAAUGGCUGGUACAGAGAGUGGCGAGCCUGUGAGGGUGAGCGAAUCUCGGAAAGCCGGUCUCAGUUCGGAUUGGGGUCUGCAACUCGACCUCAUGAAGUCGGAGUCGCUAGUAAUCGCAGAUCAGCAACGCUGCGGUGAAUACGUUCCCGGG
rnacentral:rRNA from 1 species